CAAACGACUCUCGGCAACGGAUAUCUCGGCUCACGCAUCGAUGAAGAACGUAGCAAAAUGCGAUACUUGGUGUGAAUUGCAGAAUCCCGUGAACCUCGAGUUUUUGAACGCAAGUYGCGCCCGAMGCCAUUCGGCCGAGGGCACGUCUGCCUGGGCGUCACGC
rnacentral:rRNA from 1 species